CGUGGGCAGGCGACAGUUCAGGCAGGACGACCUCAUCCGCCCCUUCCGUUUCUUCAACCUCGCCAUGCCCUUGAUCUCGCGACAGGAUUGUGUCUGCCAUGACCACCGUUCCCCGACUCACCGCUCACAGUCCUUCUGGCGUCGUCAACCGCCGCAUAAGAUCGCGGAAGCACCAGACAAUCCCAUCUUGACCCGGGAGACGAAUCUCCUACUCCUCUCCCUCGCCCCCGUUCCCGUGGGUAGUGCCGCCGCCACCCCCACCGCCUCCUCCUUCCUCCCCAACUACCCAUGUCGCUUCCGCGCAUCCUCUUCUCUCCUCCUUGCCCUGUGGUUCACUCGACUGCAUGGUGGCGAAACCCCUACACUCCUUCUAUCGUGGUGGUGCGAGGCAACGGUGACAAUCGCUCGAUGGUGCCAAUGAGGGGGGAUUAGAUGAUUUGCCGGUUAAGAUCUAAUUUCUCGCCAAGGAGACGAAUCUUGAACCAAACCUCACCCCAUGAUCUCCGGGAGAAAAAAUUAUGCAGGAAACUGGGUUACUCGUCAUCUCAAGACGACCGUCGUGCAGUGAAAAUUCUUGCACUUUGACCGGCAGAAUUCAGGGACUAUGUUGGGGAAAGACCUCUACUGUAUCAGCUAGCAGUAACACAACAGCAGUACCUAAUCGGAUGGCCAUGAUGGAACUGCUUACUUGAAUCUGAAUGGCCAACUCCAUGCCAGCUAUCUUUUAAUCUUACUAUGCUCUAGCAUUAUCUUCUUCAGUGAGAAGUUGACAUAUUCCUAUAUUUUUCUGAACCAUUUAAAUUACACGAAAAUGUCUUCUGACAAUCCAUCUUAAUCAACACUACGUCUAUCUGUAUCUAUGUUGGCGUCUAUGUCAGAUUUGAAUUUGAUGGCCCCAAUGAUCCAAACCCUUAGUUGAUUCAUCAAUGUUUGAUAUUAUUUAUGGAGUGAGAAAUUUUGAUGCAUGUUAGCAGAUUUGCUUAACACAUGCAUGUUUAAUCAGUUUUCUGUCAUUUCUUAAUACUUGCAUCACAUGUCAAGAGCAGGAAAAGGUACAACGACAGACCAUGGUCCUCAGGCAUCUAUAUAGAAAUGCCUUCCGAAGCAGAGAACAAAAGCAUACGCAACUUUGUUUUAAUAUGCAGCUUUUCUCUUCACUAGAUGAUGAUUACGAGCAUUUCAUGUACAAGAUGCAUUAGUGGAUUCUUGCGUCCGUUGAUCUGCUGCCUGGAUUGUUACCGAGCUAAGGGAGGAAUUCAUUGGAAUUCGCUGGUACCUAUGCCCAUAGGGUUUUCAUUCAGAUUAUACAGUUGAAGAAGACAAAACUAAAGCAUGCUUUGGACCUCAAAAGCAAAGGAUUUUGUUUUACUAUGCCUGUGCUAAAAACGUGCCCUUGUAAUUUUAGUUCCAUGUAGUAGAGGACCUGUUUUUCCGAGAAGGAUGUAUCAUGUAUGCAAAGCCAAGAUAAGAAUAUGAAGAUUUUACUUUCGUCCUCAUAGCAACUAUUGCAAUUUCAGUCCUUCCGUCCCUAUACCUUAGUGCAAGACUGAA